UUUUUGUGGCUUCCCUGUCUAAAUCUGCCAUUCUUCACUAUUAAGGUCAAGGCUGACUGAGAGAGGUAGCCUCUAACAGCCUUUUUAGGAAUAUUCUUCUGUGUAUAUGUAGGCUGGUUUAGAAUAGCAAGACCCCAGAGGAAGGGAGAAAAAAAUAGCAGCUGUUACUGGUAUCUCAAGGUUUUGGGGACCAUUAGUGUUGGAGCCAGCAUGGUCUCAGUGACAGCAUGCUUCAGAAAGCCAACGCUCUAGAAAAUAGAUCGUGUAGAUAACGGUGGCCUCUGAGAGCACUCUGCAUUCUUCACUCAGAAUCACAUGUGCAGUUGAUCUAAGAUAACUUAGAUCUUAGAUCCCUGUCAAAAUGGAUUCAUUUCUGUUCUCUUUCCCAGAGGACCCUAACAGUAAUUCUUUCUGCUCUGAAGAUAUGCCAAGACCACAAGAAUUUGAAUGCCAUAGAACACCUGCAAACCAGGCAAGAAGGAAACAAAGAAGUCAGAAAUUUUUUUAUUUGCCUUUUUGCUAUGAAGUAUAUAUAAAUCCUCAAAAGAUAUUUCCUUACAUUACAUUUUAAAAUAUAGACACAUUAAAAUCAUUUAAGCUUUCAAAUUUUAACUAGAAAAAUAUCAGGAUUAAGUAAUACUAAAUGCCAAC
rnacentral:lncRNA from 1 species